AGGUCAGUCAUUAUGUUGUCCAGUGUGAAAUCCUGAAGAGUUGCAAGCAAAGAGACUCCAUAAUCUCCCCAGGAUACUCGAGGCAGUAAUGCAUUGCCCUAAAGGUCACUCAUUCAACUUCAUUCACUGUCUGGAUUUCAGCCUCCUUCCUUGAAGAGAAGUAAGUCAUUUCAGGAACAGCUCAGCAGAACAGCUUCUGCACUUCUAAUCCAUAAGUCACUGCAGGAAGGACACACUGAUUGGAAACCUCUCACUCCAGACAGA
rnacentral:lncRNA from 1 species